rnacentral:rRNA from 1 species
AGUCGAGGGGCAGCAUGGUCUUAGCUUGCUAAGGCCGAUGGCGACCGGCGCACGGGUGAGUAACACGUAUCCAACCUGCCGUCUACUCUUGGACAGCCUUCUGAAAGGAAGAUUAAUACAAGAUGGCAUCAUGAGUCCGCAUGUUCACAUGAUUAAAGGUAUUCCGGUAGACGAUGGGGAUGCGUUCCAUUAGAUAGUAGGCGGGGUAACGGCCCACCUAGUCUUCGAUGGAUAGGGGUUCUGAGAGGAAGGUCCCCCACAUUGGAACUGAGACACGGUCCAAACUCCUACGGGAGGCAGCAGUGAGGAAUAUUGGUCAAUGGGCGAGAGCCUGAACCAGCCAAGUAGCGUGAAGGAUGACUGCCCUAUGGGUUGUAAACUUCUUUUAUAAAGGAAUAAAGUCGGGUAUGNAUACCCGUUUGCAUGUNCUUUAUGAAUAAGGAUCGGCUAACUCCGUGCCAGCAGCCGCGGUAAUACGGAGGAUCCGAGCGUUAUCCGGAUUUAUUGGGUUUAAAGGGAGCGUAGAUGGAUGUUUAAGUCAGUUGUGAAAGUUUGCGGCUCAACCGUAAAAUUGCAGUUGAUACUGGAUAUCUUGAGUGCAGUUGAGGCAGGCGGAAUUCGUGGUGUAGCGGUGAAAUGCUUAGAUAUCACGAAGAACUCCGAUUGCGAAGGCAGCCUGCUAAGCUGCAACUGACAUUGAGGCUCGAAAGUGUGGGUAUCAAACAGGAUUAGAUACCCUGGUAGUCCACACGGUAAACGAUGAAUACUCGCUGUUUGCGAUAUACGGCAAGCGGCCAAGCGAAAGCGUUAAGUAUUCCACCUGGGGAGUACGCCGGCAACGGUGAAACUCAAAGGAAUUGACGGGGGCCCGCACAAGCGGAGGAACAUGUGGUUUAAUUCGAUGAUACGCGAGGAACCUUACCCGGGCUUAAAUUGCAGAUGAAUUACGGUGAAAGCCGUAAGCCGCAAGGCAUCUGUGAAGGUGCUGCAUGGUUGUCGUCAGCUCGUGCCGUGAGGUGUCGGCUUAAGUGCCAUAACGAGCGCAACCCUUGUUGUCAGUUACUAACAGGUUCCGCUGAGGACUCUGACAAGACUGCCAUCGUAAGAUGUGAGGAAGGUGGGGAUGACGUCAAAUCAGCACGGCCCUUACGUCCGGGGCUACACACGUGUUACAAUGGGGGGUACAGAGGGCCGCUACCACGCGAGUGGAUGCCAAUCCCAAAAACCUCUCUCAGUUCGGACUGGAGUCUGCAACCCGACUCCACGAAGCUGGAUUCGCUAGUAAUCGCGCAUCAGCCACGGCGCGGUGAAUACGUUCCCGGGCCUUGUACACACCGCCCGUCAAGCCAUGGGAGCCGGGGGUACCUGAAGUGCGUAACC